UAGGGAAUAUUGCGCAAUGGAGGAAACUCUGACGCAGCGACGCCGCGUGGGUGACGAAGGCCUUCGGGUCGUAAAGCCCUGUCGGAAGGGACGAAACACGAGCUGGCUAACAUCCAGCUCGCUUGACGGUACCUUUAGAGGAAGCACCGGCUAACUACGUGCCAGCAGCCGCGGUAAUACGUAGGGUGCUAGCGUUGUUCGGAAUCAUUGGGCGUAAAGCGCGUGUAGGUGGUUAGGUAAGUCGGGUGUGAAAUCCCUCGGCUCAACCGAGGAAGUGCAUCCGAAACUCCCUAGCUAGAGGACGGUAGAGGAAGGUGGAAUUCCUAGUGUAGAGGUGAAAUUCGUAGAUAUUAGGAGGAAUACCGGUGGCGAAGGCGGCCUUCUGGGCCGUUCCUGACACUGAGACGCGAAAGCGUGGGUAGCAAACAGGAUUAGAUACCCCUGUAGUCC
rnacentral:rRNA from 1 species